ensembl:snRNA U6 U6 spliceosomal RNA
UUGCUUCAGCAGCACAUAUACUAAAAUCAGAACAAUACAGAGAAGAUUAGCAUAGGCCCUGCAUGAGGAUGACACAAAAUUUUGUUAAGCAUUCCAUCAAGCU